CAGCUUAUCUGAGUGAGGUGAGCUGAUGAAGAACUUCAUCAUGGACCCUGGCCUAAAUGAAGUAGUCCUACAUGACAGAUGGCGAAAGUGUUAAGAUACAGGCACUGUACUUCAUACCUCAAGGAUUGCAACAUCCCCACCUGUCCUUCAGGAUACAGGCACUGUACUUCAUACCUCAAGGACUGCAACAUCCCCACCCAUCCUUCAGGAUACAGAAGUAUUUUGUGGAAGACUACCAGGUUGUGUCUUGCCAGACACUAUAUCUUCAGUACUUCAAGAGGCACCAGUGUCAGUGUCUUGAACAAUAACUAAUAUUGCAGAAGUAUUUUGUGGAACAGUACAAAGUUGUAUAUUCCCAGGCACUAUAUCUUCAGUACUUCAAGAAGGGCAACACCUGUUAUUCUUAUAAAUUUUUAACUGGUCAGGUAUUACUAAAUAAACAAUUUUCUUUUCGAUAUUGUAAAUUCUAUGUAAAGAUUACAUGGCACUCCAUAGAAGAAUACACGUUUGUAAUACUCUAGUAUACCUUUUUACACACAACACAAAAAGUAAUGGUAGUCUUUUAGCACAAACAAAAUAAACUUUAUUUGGGCUCAUAAUUAGAAAUAGUUUUGCCUAAAACAAAUCUUAAUAUUAUAAUUUAUUUAUGAGGAACAUUGUGUGUGUUCAGUGUCCAAAAUAGUUUACCAAAAUAUAAAUCUUGAAAUACAUGAGAGUACAUAAGGAAGAUUAAUCAUACUACUGUUGAAUGACUAAAAUAUUUUAAACUGAAAUAUCUUCUUUUGAAAAAUAUGAAAAGACAUAGAGGAGAUAAACCAUAUCAGUGUUCAGAGUGUCUGAAAUGUUUUAGUCAAAAAGGCAGUCUUAUGACACACAUGAGAGUACAUACAGGAGAUAAACCAUUUAAGUGUUUGGAGUGUUUGAAGUGUUUUACUCAAAAAGGUAGUCUUGUGAAACAUAUGCGAGUACAUACAGGAGAUAAACUAUUUCAGUGUUCAGAGUGUUUGGAAUGUUUUAGCCGAAAAGACAAUCUUGGGAGACAUAUGCGAGUACAUACAGGAAAUAAACCAUUUCAGUGUUCAGAGUGUCUGAAAUGUUUUACUGAAAAGCACAGUCUUGUGAAUCAUAUGCUAGUACAUACAGGAAAUAAACCAUUUCAGUGUUCAGAGUGUUUGAAAUGUUUUAGCCGAAAAGGUCAUCUUGUGACACAUAUGCGAGCACAUACAGGAGAUAAACCAUUUCAUUGUUCACAAUGUCUGAAAUGUUUUACUCAAAAAGUCCAUCUUGUGACACAUAUGCGAGCACAUACAGGAGAUAAACCUUUUCAUUGUUCAGAGUGUGUGAAAUGUUUUAGCCGAAAAGUCCAUCUUGUGACACAUAUGCGAGCACAUACAGGAGAUAAACCAUUUCGAUGUUCAGAGUGUCUAAAAUGUUUUAGUGUUAAAAGCAAUCUUGUGGCACAUAUGCGAGUUCAUACAGGAGAUAAACCAUUUCAGUGUUCAGAAUGUCUGAAAUGUUUUAGUGUAAAUAGCAGUCUUGUGAAACAUAUGCGAAUUCAUACAGGAGAUAAACCAUUUCAAUGUUCAGAGUGUCUGAAAUGUUUUACUUAUAAAAUGCAGUCUUGUGAUACAUAUGCGAGUACAUACAGGAGAUAAACCAUUUCGAUGUUCAGAGUGUUUGAAAUGUUUUACUGCAAAAGGCCAUCUUGUGAAACAUAUGCGAGUACACAGUGAAGAUAAAACUUCAUAGUGUUUAAUGUUUUAGGAAUAUUUUAGAU